rnacentral:rRNA from 1 species
GAUGAACGCUGGCGGCGUGCCUAAUACAUGCAAGUCGAGCGAACAGACGAGGAGCUUGCUCCUCUGACGUUAGCGGCGGACGGGUGAGUAACACGUGGAUAACCUACCUAUAAGACUGGGAUAACUUCGGGAGACCGGAGCUAAUACCGGAUAAUAUAUUGAACCGCAUGGUUCAAUAGUGAAAGACGGUUUUGCUGUCACUUAUAGAUGGAUCCGCGCCGCAUUAGCUAGUUGGUAAGGUAACAGCUUACCAAGGCAACGAUGCGUAGCCGACCUGAGAGGGUGAUCGGCCACACUGGAACUGAGACACGGUCCAGACUCCUACGGGAGGCAGCAGUAGGGAAUCUUCCGCAAUGGGCGAAAGCCUGACGGAGCAACGCCGCGUGAGUGAUGAAGGUCUUCGGAUCGUAAAACUCUGUUAUUAGGGAAGAACAAAUGUGUAAGUAACUAUGCACGUCUUGACGGUACCUAAUCAGAAAGCCACGGCUAACUACGUG